CUAAGGGGAUGACGUCAACCAUGGGGAGGUGUAGUCUCUGAGGUACUGUAUGUUCCGCGUCUCUGAGGUACUGUAUGUUCCGCGUCUCUGAGGUACUGUAUGUUCCGCGUCUCUGAGGUACUGUAUGUUCCGCGUCUCUGAGGUACUGUAUGUUCCGCGUCUCUGAGGUACUGUAUGUUCCGCGUCUCUGAGGUACUGUAUGUUCCGCGUCUCUGAGGUACUGUAUGUUCCGCGUCUCUGAGGUACUGUAUGUUCCGCGUCUCUGAGGUACUGUAUGUUCCGCGUCUCUGAGGUACUGUAUGUUCCGCGUCUCUGAGGUACUGUAUGUUCCGCGUCUCUGAGGUACUGUAUGUUCCGCGUCUCUGAGGUACUGUAUGUUCCGCGUCUCUGAGGUACUGUAUGUUCCGCGUCUCUGAGGUACUGUAUGUUCCGCGUCUCUGAGGUACUGUAUGUUCCGCGUCUCUGAGGUACUGUAUGUUCCGCGUCUCUGAGGUACUGUAUGUUCCGCGUCUCUGAGGUACUGUAUGUUCCGCGUCUCUGAGGUACUGUAUGUUCCGCGUCUCUGAGGUACUGUAUGUUCCGCGUCUCUGAGGUACUGUAUGUUCCGCGUCUCUGAGGUACUGUAUGUUCCACGUCUCUGAGGUACUGUAUGUUCCACGUCUCUGAGGUACUGUAUG